rnacentral:rRNA from 1 species
AUCCUGGUGGCGAGUGGCGAACGGGUGAGUAAUACAUGCGGAACGUGCCCUGUCGUGGGGGAUAACUAGUCGAAAGAUUAGCUAAUACCGCAUACGACCUGAGGGUGAAAGCGGGGGACCGUAAGGCCUCGCGCGAUAGGAGCGGCCGAUGUCUGAUUAGCUAGUUGGUGGGGUAAAGGCCCACCAAGGCGACGAUCAGUAGCUGGUCUGAGAGGACGAUCAGCCACACUGGGACUGAGACACGGCCCAGACUCCUACGGGAGGCAGCAGUGGGGAAUUUUGGACAAUGGGGGCAACCCUGAUCCAGCAAUGCCGCGUGUGUGAAAAAGGCCUUCGGGUUGUAAAGCACUUAUGUCCGGAAAGAAAUCCCUUGCCCUAAUACGGCGGGGGGAUGACGGUACCGGAGGAAUAAGCUCCGGCUAACUACGUGCCAGCAGCCGCGGUCAUACCUAUGGUGCGAGCGUGGGUCGAAAUUACUGGGCGUAAAGCGUGCGCAUGCGGUUUUGUAAGACAGGCGUGAAAUCCCCGAGCU